rnacentral:rRNA from 1 species
UACGAAGGGGGCUAGCGUUGCUCGGAAUCACUGGGCGUAAAGGGUGCGUAGGCGGGUCUUUAAGUCAGGGGUGAAAUCCUGGAGCUCAACUCCAGAACUGCCUUUGAUACUGGAGAGCUUGAGUCCGGGAGAGGUGAGUGGAACUCCGAGUGUAGAGGUGAAAUUCGUAGAUAUUCGCAAGAACACCAGUGGCGAAGGCGGCUUACUGGUCCGGUUCUGACGCUGAGGCGCGAAAGCGUGGGGAGCAAACAGG